rnacentral:rRNA from 1 species
AGCAGCCGCGGUAAUUCCAGCUCCAAUAGCGUAUAUUAAAGUUGUUGCAGUUAAAAAGCUCGUAGUUGAAUUUCGGGAUCAAUGCGUCGGUCGUGCCUCGGUACGUACUAACGAUAUUGAUUUCUCCCUUCUGACGAACCGUGAUGUCAUUAAUUUGGUGUUACGGGGAGUUAGGACUGUUACUUUGAAAAAAUUAGAGUGUUUAAAGCAAGCAAUCGCUCGAAUACAUUAGCAUGGAAUAAUGAAAUAGGACGUUCGACCCUAUUUUGUUGGUUUCUAGGAUCGACGUAAUGAUUAAUAGGGAUAGUUGGGGGCAUUAGUAUUCAAUUGUCAGAGGUGAAAUUCUUGGAUUUAUUGAAGACUAACUACUGCGAAAGCAUUUGCCAAGGAUGUUUUCAUUAAUCAAGAACGAAAGUUAGGGGAUCGAAGACGAUCAGAUACCGUCGUAGUCUUAACCAUAAACUAUGCCGACUAGGGAUCGGAUGAUGUUAAUUUUUUAAUGACUCAUUCGGCGCCUUACG